rnacentral:rRNA from 1 species
CUACGCACUCCUACGGGAGGCAGCAGUAGGGAAUCUUCCGCAAUGGACGAAAGUCUGACGGAGCAACGCCGCGUGAGCGAUGAAGGCCUUCGGGUCGUAAAGCUCUGUUGUUAGGGAAGAACAAGUACCGGAGUAACUGCCGGUACCUUAACGGUACCUAACCAGAAAGCCACGGCUAACUACGUGCCAGCAGCCGCGGUAAUACGUAGGUGGCAAGCGUUGUCCGGAAUUAUUGGGCGUAAAGCGCGCGCAGGCGGUCCUUUAAGUCUGAUGUGAAAGCCCACGGCUCAACCGUGGAGGGUCAUUGGAAACUGGGGGACUUGAGUACAGAAGAGGAAAGCGGAAUUCCACGUGUAGCGGUGAAAUGCGUAGAGAUGUGGAGGAACACCAGUGGCGAAGGCGGCUUUCUGGUCUGUAACUGACGCUGAGGCGCGAAAGCGUGGGGAGCAAACAGGAUUAGAUACCCUGGUAG